AUAUAUAUAUAAAUAAUAUAUAUUCCCCUCUGCUAGAAUUCUCUCAUCCUUUGACAGAAUUCUUUCAAAUUGCAUUCCCAAUUCCUCCAAGCUCCAAUGAGGAGCUCAUAAUUCAGCAGUGACCAGACUUCUGUAUGUGCUUAUCUCAGGGCAAAGCACUUGCAGCAAGCAUUGCAGUGUGUGAUUCUUGGUGGAUUUUAAAAUGCAUCCGGGCUUUGGAGCUGACCUGGGAGGUGAGUUACUGCCAGCUUGGCCACAUGUUGGCAGGACCCUCUGACCUCUGCUUGUGGCAGUGGCAGCAGUCCCUUUUGUAAGUAAGAAUUGUGUUCUUUGAAGUUUGUUGUUGUUGUCUUGGUGCUGUGUUUGGGAGCAUGGAUUAAGCUAAAUAUCUUACUGGUUUGGAGCUGAUGCCACUCUGCCUCACCAGAGCCAGAAGGACAAGUGGACAGGUCGUUUUCUGCUUUGUUAAGAGAUCUGAAGGUCAGAGCAUCAAAAUGGUAAUUUCAAUCAGAGCCAGCCUAGCUGCUCUGCAGUCUAACAGAGCUACUGUAGGCUGUAGGUCUUAAUGCAUGCAGAGACUGUGAUCUAAUUCUAAGUGCUGCUUGUUGGGUCAGAUCUGGUUGAGUCAAACCUUGAUGUUUCAUCCCAUCAGGUCAUUCCUGAGAGGCUGCCUCCCUGCAGCAAACAAAAUACAUAGAAGGACAGAAAUGGAGACCUUGCUUUGCUGUACAAGAACAAAAUUUCUUGUUAAGGAUUACCAUUUAGAAAAUAAUCCACAGUUGCUUUUAGUGUAAUCUCAGCAGACAUACUUUAUUCACUAUGGAAGCUUUUGCAUUACUAUCAAGUACCACACAAAGCCAAUCCUUGCAAAAAUUGAUAGGGGUAAAAACUGGGGAUUGGAAGGAAGAGGAUGGAUUAAUUUAUUCUUGUCAUUCGAUUAAGUCCAGUAAUGCUAAGCAGCAUGAUGUUGACUACAACGGGAGGGAGGCACUGUUGUGAAAUCAGUUUUAUCCUCAAACAAGAGAGGAAUUCACCAUGGCUUGAUUUCACAUAUAAAUACAAGAACUUACUGUGACUGUAUAAUAACUAAUAGGGGUUUGUAGGCACUUGAAAGAACAAUAGUAUAUUUAAAGUAAAUAUACAGAGGCGUUUAGAACCUUAAUAUAACCCUCCCCUGCUGCACAAGUGUGUGCCCAGCCCCAGCUCACUAUCAGCAACAGCAUUUAUAUAGCAACAAUGAGUAACAUUUUUCAAGAUACCAUAGGUACUGUAUUAGAAGAAAAACAAACAAACAAAUUAGCAAAAUGAAAGCAGAGCACAGCACUUAAUCACGUAGUUGUCUCAUUUAAAUCAGUGGGUUGACUCAUUUUCCUAUAAUCAUGCAUGUUUUUAAGAUACGGUUGGUAUGUCACGUGUGUGUAAUCUGAUAAUCGUGUCUAUCCAUUUCCCUUGUGUUUGUCCUACCUUCAGGGAAAGGACUGUUCUUUUGUUACCUGUUGUAGGGGCCAGCAUAGGUAGGUGCAAGACAAGAGCUUGUAAGCACUACAAUAGGAUGCACAGUAACAGAGCCUUAGCUAAAAACAAGUUAAUUGAUGCUGAAGGGAUGGCAAAGGGCAGAAGUUGCCUUAUCACAGCUAUAUGUGGCAACCUUGCAGUGAAAAGUGAUGGGGUAGCAGGGUAAACAGCCUCUGCCACCUUCAGUGAAACCAGUGGCAGCCAGGCCAGGUAGGCACUAUUACAAGUAGGGAGCUCUGGCAGAGAGGGGGAGUGCAGGUGGUGGGGAACAGUAGUAAAAUGAUGUGGUUUAUGUUACUGGUGUCCUGUCUUUUAUUUACUUUAGUCUGCUGGCAGGAUGUUUCUCUGUAAACAUUACCACAAAACACUUAAACGGGAAUAAAAGUAACUUUUAUUGAAGGAAUUUAAAAGUAGUCUCUGGAAAACAUGCAAGAAACGCCAUGUGGACUCCACAUCUUCUUCAAAGUAGACGGAACACAGCAGGAAUCUACCACUGUCACCAAAAACAAAUUCAAACUGCACCUUUUAAUAUUUAUAUAAUUGAAAGUACAAAUCAAGAUUGCUGCCUGAAAGCACUCACAUUUAAAGACAGUAAAAGGGUCCAAGUCGCCUUUUCAAACUUGUAAUAGAACAUGUAACACCAAAUUAAGCCCGUAGUUCUGGCAUAAACCAGCAACAUCAGGACAAUAGCGCUUACCACAUAUUGCAAAAUAUAACUUUCCAUUCUUUGGACUAAUUAGAGAGGCAGCCAGUAGCACCAGUAUGGUUCUGUCAGCAUUUCCACAAUAAAACCCCCUUUUCAGGGCUUUAUAACUCGGCUGUAAAAAAUUAGCUUCAGGCUGCAGCUUGGCAUGCCUUGGUUCAGCCCAGCAGCACGUCGAGUUGUACAUGUGGUUAUGUGUGUGGUUUGUUGAUUGUUUCCUAAAUACAAAUUUUCAUUGAAAUUAGUUUUGCUACUUCUUGGAAGACAGUAAUAAAAGUCACCAAUGUUUAAAUGAGUGCAGUUAUAUUCUUUGGCAGUCUCUCGCAGCGAGUUAAUUGUUAAUAGUAUGAAUGUUUGAGGUGAGAAGCAUACAGCCUUGUGACACUUUUUUAUUUUAAAUUAAACCAUCUCAAGGAAAGUUUAAAAGAAGGUUUCUGCACUUGCACGUUGAUCUUGUUCCACAGGGCGUGAUCCUGACUCCAAGAGAGACAUCAUGCAGCAGCUUUGAUGGAAAGGGCCCCACAAGAGCAGCUCAAAUGAGGGCACAGGUAUUCAGGGAGUCCCUGGAACAGCUGUGCCCCAGCGAGGGCUGGUGUACCCCUGGGCUGCAGGGGUGUCGAAGCCAUGAAAUGUGCAGGUGGGGAAGUCAUUGACAUUUUCCUCCCCGGUACACACAGCAGUGACAAAGUCAGCCUCUCCAAGGCUCGUACCAUGGGAGGUACUGAGGGAUCUCUUACACUCGUGGGUCAUCAGCCAACGUUCAUUAAAUGUCUGUGUUACGGACCAACACAGUGCACUGGUUAAAAGUGUGGGAUACCCCAUCCAUGCCCACGAACUUUGAAGUGAAUUGGGUAGCAUCAAUAAUCUCAUGACAAAUUCUUCUGUUUCAGUCUCACUGUGGUCUGUAGAAAUGCCCCAAAGUCAGGAUGCCUGCUACCAUGCAGCUGGAAAUGCUGCGGCAUGGAGAGAAAAGUGGAAGUGGAAAGGAAAUCAGAAAGGCUGGUUGCACACAACCUGACUGAACAGGAACCCAAAGUCUGCUGUCAGUGGCUUUGCUGAGAUCACAGGAGUAAUGGAAGACAAAAAUCAAGCUACAUCCUGGCUGCACAGAGCUGGCUAUUUGAGGAAAUGCAUGCAUCCGGCUGGAAUCAGACGUGGCACAAAAGCCAGCAGUAGAAAACACCACAUCGUGGUAUUAGCAAUCUUGCCUGCCCGUGCUGAAGUUUUGCAGGCUUGUGCUGCACCGACUCCAUUGCCCCAUGGCCACUGCCCACUCCCUGCAUCAGCUUGUUGCCUCCAACUGCUCCCCGGUCAUCCUGGUGGAAAACAGGGACCCUGGGGAAGUCAUAGCACUGUGCUAGCUGUGGGUUUGGUCCUCUGUAAAAAGAGGCCGGCAUCCCUCCUUUCCCUCUCUUUCUCUCUGUCAAGAAAUUUCCAUCUAAAAUGCAGCUACUCAUACAACUCUCUUCAUCUUUUUUAUCUGAAGCUCUCAGUCUCCUGAUGAUGAGCAAAAGCUAAAUUAUACAAACUAACAGAAAGAGGAUGCCAGUUAUGAUUAGGCUAAAUUUAAUGCACUCUCCCAUGUAUUUUAAUGCUUUAUGUAUAGCUAUGCGUGCAGGUAAAGGGACAGAUUGAAAAUAGUCAGGAAAAUGGAAGGAAAUGAAGUUCGUAGCAAAAGCUGUGUUUCACCAAAUGGAAAGCAUUUAAAGACUGGGAAUUGCCUCUUUCUUUCACCCAUGUUUCCCUCCAAACUCUAUCAGCCAACUUUCUGCUAACCCUCCCUCUGCUUUUAGUUAUCAACUUGCUUUUUUUUUUAUCCCAUUCAUAGGAAAAGAAAGCAAGCAGACAAGAAUGAAAAACAGAAUUAGAUAAAUAUCUGGCAGUGUUUCAUGAGAAGCAUAUCCUAGAGAGAGCAACAACAAUCUCAAUAAGGUAACAGAACGGUGCUAUUAUUUACUAUCACCUCUAACAAAAUGAGUUUUUCUGCCUUCUGUCGCUUGAAUACUCGGUGAGUACCAGGCCGCUUGGAAAUACCUGGCUGAUCUGAGCUGAACCUGGAAGGCUUUGACGCGCUAGCAGAAACCACGCGUCGUUUUGCCUCAUCCUGUAACAGGCAUCUUUUAUUUUGCUGAACUUCGGGUACCCAGGCUCAGACCAAAGACGGCCCUUCCUCCCAGGUGCCUACCCAGAAAAAAAUAAAUAAAUAAAAAGGAAAAACACCCGCAGUCCCGGCCCCGUCCUCCGUGGGACCCCCCGUGCAGCCGCAUGGGGCUGGGACCCAGCGCUGCGGCCGCGGCCCCGGCCCCGCUCGGCCCGGCCCGGCCCCGGUGCGCGGCGGUUCCGCGGUGCGCUGGAGACCCCUGUCGGCGCCUCGCCGCAAGGCCGGCCUCUAGGAGCCGUCCGCCAGAGCGAACUUGGUGCUUUUACGGCCGGCGAGGGAAGGUGCCGAGCGCAGGCACAACUUUGUGGUUCUUCUGGGGAGGCUUGACCACAGGAAGCCCUCCGUGCUCGGCUUGUUGGACGCGCACAGACAGUAAUAUCUGUAACACUGAAAUGCCUCUGGUCUGGCUGAAGAAAUUUGUUUUGGCGAAAUUGGUGUUGGCAAAAUCCUGGUUUGUCAACCCGAGCUGCGCUAAGUAGUUGCUGUUUGUAAUUAUAUCGAUGGGAAUCCUCACGCUGCUUCUCUCCUGUGGCAUAAUUCAUGCAGCCCAUGUGUGGUCACUUAAUGCCCGCAUGACCAAAUCGCUCAAAACGAGGAAUGUAGAGCUGACUGCACGACCCAGCUGAGUACCAAACCCAUUUGUUUUUAAUAACACAGUGUGAGAUGCCCGGUGUUAUAUAAUAUGCAUUCCCACUCUUUUCUUUUGCAUGGUGAUCGCUGGUAGCUGUUAUUUCUCACCUCAGGUCAUGAAAAGUAUUUUAUCGUUACUCUAUUUGCUAUACAAAUAUAAACAAAUAUAGAAGCACGCGUUCUGCUGCUGAUCUUUUGUGCACGCAGCUCCCCUUACAAGCUGGGGGAAUGUUUCAUGUGAAAGGACUUCCAAGUCAGGCGAUUUGGACGCUAAGCUUAUUAGAAAGCAGCGUUAUCUGAUGAGCUGCAGCGCGUCCUAAAUUGACAGAGCCUUGUUGUGGGCACAAUGCUCCUGCUUAGCAUAUAUGUAUUCAUUUUCCCCCAGAAUCUGGAAAUAUCUA